GAUGAACGCUGGCGGCGUGCCUAAUACAUGCAAGUCGAGCGAACAGAUAAGGAGCUUGCUCCUUUGACGUUAGCGGCGGACGGGUGAGUAACACGUGGGUAACCUACCUAUAAGACUGGAAUAACUUCGGGAAACCGGGGCUAAUGCCGGAUAACAUUUAGAACCGCAUGGUUCUAUAGUGAAAGACGGUUUUGCUGUCACUUAUAGAUGGACCCGCGCCGCAUUAGCUAGUUGGUAAGGUAACGGCUUACCAAGGCAACGAUACGUAGCCGACCUGAGAGGGUGAUCGGCCACACUGGAACUGAGACACGGUCCAGACUCCUACGGGAGGCAGCAGUAGGGAAUCUUCCGCAAUGGGCGAAAGCCUGACGGAGCAACGCCGCGUGAGUGAUGAAGGUCUUCGGAUCGUAAAACUCUGUUAUUAGGGAAGAACAAAUGUGUAAGUAACUGUGCACGUCUUGACGGUACCUAAUCAGAAAGCCACGGCUAACUACGUG
rnacentral:rRNA from 1 species